GGCCUAGUCUAUUGGGUACUAAUUACAUAAUUAGAAUCUUAAAUAUGCAGGUAGCAGCUAACAGCUAUACAGCAACAAUUUAUUAGAGUGGCCCUGCUGCUUUGACGUUGAGGAUUUAAAAGCUCAAGCAUCCAUGGAACAUACAUUGAUAAGAAGUGCCCUUGAGAUGCCAUGGUGACUUUGUGAGGGACUGAGGGCUACUGAACAUGUAAAGCAUCUAUCUGUGGAAAUGCUAUGCCGCUGCUGGGACCUCAAAAUCUGCAAAAGCACCAAAACAAGGGCUGCUGCCACCAAGAAAAGCUAAAGAUAUAUCAAUUUAUUGCCUUGCUGCCUUUUUUUGGUUUUUGUUUCUAUGAUGUUGCAUUGGUGCAAAGUAUAAAUGUAUAACUAUCUAAUGUAUAAAUGUGUAAUACAAUGUCUUUUUAAACUGAAAUGUGUAGGGAAAAAAAUUUGAAGACAGAGGACUGGAGGAGCAGCUGCAUAGCAUUGAGCAUGGCAGCAUGGAACUGAUGGAAGUUUGGUUGUUCACUUGUUGUCUUGUCGAACAUUGUUUUGGUUUUUAAUUUGUUAUGUUGUUAAGACAAUAUGUGUUGUUGAACUUGUUGUGUAACUGUGUUGAUUGAAAUCAUUGAAUGAUUGUUAUUUGCAAGAUGGAUUUAUUUGCAGCCUUGCUGCUAGUGCAGAUUGCACUUUGCAGAAUGGUUUAUUGAUUUUA